rnacentral:rRNA from 1 species
AUCCGGGUUGCGGACAGUGUCUGGUGGGUAGUUUGACUGGGGCGGUCUCCUCCUAAAGAGUAACGGAGGAGCACGAAGGUUGGCUAAUCCUGGUCGGACAUCAGGAGGUUAGUGCAAUGGCAUAAGCCAGCUUGACUGCGAGCGUGACGGCGCGAGCAGGUGCGAAAGCAGGUCAUAGUGAUCCGGUGGUUCUGAAUGGAAGGGCCAUCGCUCAACGGAUAAAAGGUACUCCGGGGAUAACAGGCUGAUACCGCCCAAGAGUUCAUAUCGACGGCGGUGUUUGGCACCUCGAUGUCGGCUCAUCACAUCCUGGGGCUGAAGUAGGUCCCAAGGGUAUGGCUGUUCGCCAUUUAAAGUGGUACGCGAGCUGGGUUUAGAACGUCGUGAGACAGUUCGGUCCCUAUCUGCCGUGGGCGGUGGAGAACUGAGGGGGGCUGCUCCUAGUACGAGAGGACCGGAGUGGACGCAUCACUGGUGUUCGGGUUGUCAUGCCAAUGGCACUGCCCGGUAGCUAAAUGCGGAAAAGAUAAGUGCUGAAAGCAUCUAAGCACGAAACUUGCCCCGAGAUGAGUUCUCCCUGAGACUUUAGGUCUCCUGAAGGAACGUUGAAGACGACGACGUUGAUAGGCCGGGUGUGUAAGCGCAGCGAUGCGUUGAGCUAACCGGUACUAAUGAACCGUGAGGCUUAACCUUACAACGCCGAAG